CAAUAUUUGUUAGAAAUAGGUCUUUUGUGUACAUAGAAAAAGUGUUAGAUCUUUGAGUUCAGCUCAUGAGAAUGGGGGCAAAAACAAAAGAAUUGCGGUUAUAAUUUUGUUCAGCGUAUAUUCCCAGAACAAAGUGAGUAUGAAUCAGGGCUUGCAGGAGAGGGAACAACUGGACCAUAAUGAUACUUCUCCUUCAAAGCACCGCUGUGAGCAGGGUUUGAACCUGCGUGGGGAAACCCCAUUGGAUUCCAACGCCUUAACCACUCGGCCAUCACAGCCCUCCGUAGAGUCUUAGUCUGUGUGGCAUCUCGUCUCGCUGUCUCCAACCUCCGUCUCCCCUCUAAAGGGCUGCCAGCAGCAGGCCACAUCAUCAGGACAUGACUCGCUGCUGUUCUCCUCCGCUCCGCCAGCUCGGACUCCGCUUCAGGGUCAAAGGUCGCCUCCGGAGACCUCAACAUGGACACCUGAACACAACACACCAGAUGAAAUGCUGUAACAACCCACAAGUAAAGAAGUGGUUCUCAUUGAGCAGCGUCCCGCUCGUCAGUCUCAGGACGUCCAGCUGCCGGAUCAGAUCCGAUGACUCGGCGCUCUGCAUUGCUACGGCAACGCCACCUGAUGUCUGCGCCAGGAGACCCUGCGUGUCCUGGAGACAAGACGACGACGCAGAUGCAGUUAGUUCAUUUGAAUAAUCCAGCUGCACCAGUUGUUGUUCUUGAUCGCUGAUGAGGCUCUGGAGCUCCGGCAGUGUUUGGAUCUUCAGAUCCUCAUCCAUACACCUCAGAUCGCUCAGCUCUGCCUCCACGCGCCCACGCUGCUCACGCUGCUUCUCACACCUGUUCACACAGCAGAGGAUUAUGGGAUAUACGUCUACAUGUGGAUUAUACCGGGGGCAGAGCAUGUGUGCGUGCGUGCGCGUGUGUUGUAGGUGUUUCUGGAUCUACCUGAUGUUGAAGUCGUGAAUGGUGAGCUCUGCACCGAGCAGCUGCAGCUUCACCUGAGCCUGGGCCGAGAGAGCCUCACUUAUCUCAGAGAGAGAGAGAGAGAUAGUGAACACUUUAGAGGUUGCAUAAGAAGUAGAAAGAUGUAUUUUUAUGAUUUGGCAACAUUGUUAUUGAAACUUUCAUGCCAAUAAAGGCCCUUUGAAUUAAAUUGACAAUUCACAGGUUUAGCAUUUGUAAUUUUAUACUGAAGUUUAAUAUUAACAACACACCUAACAUCCUGUAUGUUAUGGCUACAGGUGUGUGAGUAUAAAACAGGUUUGCAGGGAAAAAGCAACUGGACAAUAGUUACAUUCUCCUGCUAAUAGAUACUGUGAGCAGGGUUUGAACCUACACAGGGAAACCCAACGCCUUAACCACUCAGCCAUCACAGCUCUCAGAAGUCUUUCAUGUAGGUAGGUAGGUAGGUAGGUAAGGUAUGAUAAACGUCAAAAUCGGCCAACAAAGCAUCAACAAAGUGACCAAACUGUUGAAAA